UCUAUCAAUCAAAGCUGUAGCUAAAGAAAAUUUCUGGGAGGGGAGCGUUUGAAAUUGUAUCAAUCAAUUCAAUUUUCAGUUUUAAAUCAAUUUCGAGGGGUCCAGAUCCGUGGAAUAACCCUUUACGUAUGUCCAGUUAAUGCCGUCAAAAUGAUGGGAAAUUAAUAAAAACCAUUACUUCAAUAACUACCAAAAUCCACCA